GGGGGGGGGGGGGGGGGGGGCGAGGGCGGGGAGGUCGGGGGGACGGGCGGGGAGCGGGCUCCGCGGACGUUAGCGGCGGGCGGGGGGGUAACACGUGGAUAACCUACCUAUAAGACUGGGAUAACUUCGGGAAACCGGAGCUAAUACCGGAUAAUAUAUUGAACCGCAUGGUUCAAUAGUGAAAGACGGGUUUGCUGUCACUUCUAGAUGGAUCCGCGCCGCCUUAGCUCGUUGGUAAGGUAACGGCUUACCAAGGCAACGAUGCGUAGCCGACCUGAGAGGGUGAUCGGCCACACUGGAACUGAGACACGGUCCAGACUCCUACGGGAGGCAGCAGUAGGGAAUCUUCCGCAAUGGGCGAAAGCCUGACGGAGCAACGCCGCGUGAGUGAUGAAGGUCUUCGGAUCGUAAAACUCUGUUAUUAGGGAAGAACAAAUGUGUAAGUAACUAUGCACGUCUUGACGGUACCUAAUCAGAAAGCCACGGCUAACUACGUG
rnacentral:rRNA from 1 species